AGGCUGCAAAAAUUAAGAAUUCACCAAAACUUUGCUGGAGUUGAGUCUGACAGAAGAGCUCAACGUCUGCUGUCAUCACCUGAGGGACAACCUGAUGUCAAGGCAAGAGGGGCCUGCUGCUGGGAGCCACAUGGGGAGUGUUGGCCCCAGGCCCUGCCACCACGAGGACCAGUGUGAUGGGAGGUGAACACAGUUACAGCUGCUCUCUUACGGACAGCUUACUUGUGCUUUAUGCUGUGUCAUACAGGCUACACAAGAGGCUGCUGAAAUCCAGCAUUUGUUUUCAGAUACACGUUGAUGCUUUUUAAGGAAAUGAUUGUAAACCAGAGAAUUCUUUAAAACAACGUUGGUCACAGCUUUUCCAGCAUCGGCGCAAACUGAGUAAAUAAGGGGAAGCUUAAAGGAUCCAUGGAAGGUAAACAAAAGUCUCCAUUUGUGGCUGGUUUGUAGUGGGUAACUGAAAAUUCUGGUAGUAGCUUGGUGGUCUCAGUUUUAUACCUUUCUGGCACCUCUGAUGGUAAACCAACAUCACCAAAAAACAAACAAACAAACAAAAAAUUUCAGUGUAACUGGCAUUGACACCUGUAGUCUGUAAGCUGUCUUCAUAGGAACAUAACUCCUUUGCAGCUGCAUCUGUGGUCUUGAUGGAAAGGAUCAAUUUCAAAUGAAAGUUUGUGCUUCAUACUCCAAAAAUUUCCAUUAAAUUUUCCAGUCAUUGUAGCUGCAGCAAAGAUG
rnacentral:lncRNA from 1 species